GAUGAACGCUGGCGGCGUGCCUAAUACAUGCAAGUCGAGCGAACGGACGAGAAGCUUGCUUCUCUGAUGUUAGCGGCGGACGGGUGAGUAACACGUGGAUAACCUACCUAUAAGACUGGGAUAACUUCGGGAAACCGUAGCUAAUACCGGAUAAUAUUUUGAACCGCAUGGUUCAAAAGUGAAAGACGGUCUUGCUGUCACUUAUAGAUGGAUCCGCGCUGCAUUAGCUAGUUGGUAAGGUAACGGCUUACCAAGGCAACGAUGCAUAGCCGACCUGAGAGGGUGAUCGGCCACACUGGAACGGAGACACGGUCCAGACUCCUACGGGAGGCAGCAGUAGGGAAUCUUCCGCAAUGGGCGAAAGCCUGACGGAGCAACGCCGCGUGAGUGAUGAAGGUCUUCGGAUCGUAAAACUCUGUUAUUAGGGAAGAACAUAUGUGUAAGUAACUGUGCACAUCUUGACGGUACCUAAUCAGAAAGCCACGGCUAACUACGUG
rnacentral:rRNA from 1 species